GAAGGUGGCGUGUCUAAAAGUCGAUUUUUCGAUCGAAAGUUGCGCGAGUGACGGAGACGAGAAAAUUUCUCGAUGGUUCUUCGUGGUUUGCUGGCACCAGCGGCGGCGCGAUGGACACGAAAUAAAACAACGAAAAGGGGUCAAGAGAAGCAGGCAGCCGGACAAUUAGGAUUAUCACGUUAUGGACCGCAGGUGAUGAGUGUGUUGUGUUUAUGCACCACGAUACACCAGCCGGGUCAGAACAACAAUCAGGCCAGCAAGAUACUUCCGAGCACACCACCGAUCUCAUCUGAGGAAGAGAGGAUAAACUCGUCGCAGGAAAUACCCACCGACGAACUGGCUCUAUUAGCUAAGCUGGAGGAAGCCAAUAGGCUUAUCGAAUCGGAUGCAAAGUCGUUGAACUCGCUCCAAAGCAAUCACAGUAGAAAAGGUUCCGACACAUCUCAGGUGUCCGUGGCGUCGGGGGGCAGCGGAGGAAACAGCGAUGCCGCACCCCGACGCCACAAUUCAGCUGAUGGUGAAGAGAAUACGUGGACCCUAUGGGGUCACAUCGUCGCUGAUUGGGAUUAUCAUUGGAAGAAGAGGAAAGAGUUCGUCAAAGAAUUAGUACGUCAAGGAAUACCUCAUCAUUUUAGAGGUAUUGUUUGGCAACUAUUAAGUGGUGCUCAUGACUCUCCUGUGAAAAAGCAAUUUGCUGAGUAUAUCAAGGCUACGUCAGCAUGCGAAAGGAUAAUCAGGAGGGAUAUAGCCAGAACGUAUCCUGAGCAUGAUUUCUUUAAGGAGAAAGACGGACUUGGUCAGGAGAGUCUAUUUAACGUUAUGAAAGCGUAUAGUCUUCAUGAUCGUGAAGUGGGAUACUGUCAAGGUUCGGGAUUUAUUGUAGGAUUACUCCUUAUGCAGCAAAUGCCAGAAGAAGAAGCUUUCGCUGUACUGGUAGCGCUUAUGCAAGAGUAUCGUUUGCGAGACAUGUUCAAGCCGAGUAUGGCUGAAUUAGGGGUGUGCAUGUAUCAGCUAGAACAUUUAGUUGCUGACACCCAUCCCGAGUUACACGCUCAUUUUACGGCUCAAGGUUUUCACACGUCAAUGUACGCGUCGUCUUGGUUUCUUACGCUUUUUACCACAGCGCUCAGCCUACCGCUGGCCUGCCGCAUUUUUGACGUGUUUCUGUCCGAAGGCAUGGAAAUUAUUUUCAAAGUUGCACUGGCCAUGUUGCAUUUAGGCAAGGAAGAUUUGUUAAGCUUGGACAUGGAAGGCAUGUUGAAGUUCUUUCAGAAACAGCUACCUGGAAGAGGCGAAAAAGAUCCUGAUGGUCUCAUGAAUCUUGCCUAUGGUAUGAAAAUAAAUCCGAAAAGAAUGAAGAAACUCGAGAAAGAUUAUACUGUGCUGAAAAUGAAAGAGCAAGAGGAGAUGGUUGAACUUCGUAGGCUUAGAGCCGAAAAUAGGUUACUUAGGCAAAGAACUGAACUUCUGGAAGCUGAAUCCGCGGAGUUGGCAGAUAGGUUAGUCAGAGGUCAAGUUUCUCGAGCAGAAGAGGAGGAAACUGCUUUCGUUGUACAAAGAGAAUUAGCAGCUCUUCGACACACGCAUCUUGAAACCAGUCAUCAGCUUGAGCAAGCUCACGAAGAACUAAGAUCAUUAUCGCUUCUGCUAGAAGAAAAUGUGACAUCGAAACAAUCCUCUUUGGAUGAAAUUUUGUCAAAGCAGGAAGCAUUGUCACAAAAAGAGGAAAUGAUACAGUGUUUGCAAGAGGAAUUGGUAAGAGUUCGACUACACGAAGCAGAGAACGACGCAACGAUAAGGGAACUUAGAGCAAGAAUACAAGAAUUGGAACAGGAUAAAAAGACGUUGCGUGAAUCAACGCCGGAUAAUUCUGUUGCUCAUUUACAAGAAGAACUGAUUGCUGUGAAACUAAGAGAGGCAGAAGCUAAUCUUUCUUUAAAGGAUCUUCGGCAAAGAGUAGUGGAAUUGAGCAGUGCCUGGCAAAGGCAUCUGCAAGAACAUCGUUCCGCUCAGAAUCAACCUGCAAGCGAUUCCACGCCGAAGAAACUUUUGUUUUGGGAGAACCGAGGACAUGAAGUGCAAAAGUUCGAAGAGGAUUUAAUGACAACCAGAAUUCGAGAGAUGGAAGCUUUGACAGAAGUGAAGGAGCUUAGACUUAAGGUUAUGGAGCUUGAAACUCAAGUGCAAGUUGCCACGAAUCAACUUCGUCGACAAGACGAAGGAGGGAAAUUAAUUAAAGAGGAAUUAGAGGCUGCCUUAGCUAGGGAGAAGGAACUUACUGCCAAACUACGGGAGCAACAACAUAAAUAUUCCGAUCUGGAGUCUAAGAUGAAGGAUGAAGCUAUGAUGGCUAGGAUACGUGAUGCAGAGCAUGCGCAGCAAGUGGCUGAACUCACCCAGAAAAUAUCUCUUCUUGAAUUAAAAAAUGAAGAGAUGCACGCGGAAGGUGAGCUUAGAAAUAAUUUAGAUGACAGUGAGAGAGUCAGAGAAUUGCAAGAUAAAGUUGCAGAAUUAAAAGCUGAGGUCAUGAGGCUAGAAAGCUGGAAGCAACGUUGGACAGGCAAUGGUGGGCAAAAUGUAAGAAGUUUCAGUGUUGACACUGAAAGCGAGCUGGACGAGCGGGAUCUCAGAAUUUGUUUACAGGAUCAUAUCAAUGCAACUACACAGAACUCACCAGAGGUAUAGAAUUCCAUGCAUACCAGACAUUAGGCAGCUAAUUGUCGUUCGAACACACACAGAAGUAUUCCAUAUGCCAGAGCAGAUGGGACCUUUUACGUUUCAUGAUCAUGCUUUCGCUGUAGAGAGAAUACGACGAGUUAUAACACACAUAUAGAAUAUUAUAAAUCGAGAACACAUAGGAAUAAUAGCGAUAUUAUGUUUUUAGUUUACGUGUAAUAUCACUAUAGCUCGUGAUGUAUUAACGACAUAGUAGUAAUUAAAAUAGGUGUAACCUGGCGGUCAUUAAUAACGCAAUAUAAAAUUAUCUGACCCGGAUCGAUCAUUUGUUGCAAUCAGACUUCGAAGUAGUAUUUAUUUAUAAAAUGUGUUCGUUUAAUACAGAAUGGUGUCUAGAGUGUCUCAAUGUCUCAUAGACAUUUUGUUCCAAUAACAUAGCAAUUAACAUUUGCAAUUUUAAUUAUUUUAUCACGAAUCUCCGCAAAACCAGAAACCACCUUCAAUUAAUUCCAUUAAUUUUUAUAAUAGACAGUCCAUUGCAUUUCGAAGUCUGCUUACAAUCGACGAAUAUUAUAGGUUAAAUAUAACUAUGUGACGCAUAAACGACAUGUUUUUAUACGUAUUACGCAUUCUGUGUAUUUUUUGUAAUUUAAACCAAAUGUAAUUCCAUUUAAGGAAUUGUAUAUUGAAUAGAAUGAAAUCCGGCGACGGGGGAAUCGGAGUCUUGUACGAAAGACUAAGAGUCAAAAGGAAAAAGAAGAAAACUGAUAAAAAAAAAAAAAAGAAAAAAAAACGCGUUUUUUCUGAUGCGACGGAAUACUUAGAGUCUCAUUAACAAGUCGCAGUAGCGUAUUACUCCGGUUUGUAGAAUAUUAUAGGAAAACGAAACAAUAAAACAAAACACAAACAUAUAUCAGUAAAUAAAGUAUACCAAAUACUCUUUGGAUUCAUCAGUAUUCUUCUCGCGUACAUUCGCGUAUUUAUAAUACGCUAAAAGUAGUAAAGAAACGACACGAGGUUAAUUUCAAACGGUCCAACUAUUGAGUGGAAAACUUGCGCACACAAUUAAAAUACAGUACUGUGCAAAAAUCUUAGGUUAUUUUCUUAGUUUUUACAUUUUGCUUUCCAAAAGUGAUUGAAUGUAUGGUUGGCAUUAUUUUAAUACUAUAGUUACACCUAGAAAGUUAAUACCUAUCUUUAAGUAAUUAAUAUUUUUAAGUCAUUAAUAAUAUUUAAUUAUUAAAAAUUAAUAUUUUAUUCGUGAAUUAUGUUUUUAUAAUGCCAUAAAUAUUUGAUAGUAUUUGAAACAGAGUUCUGCAUGUAUUGCAAAAUUUAAAAAAAAUUUGUGAAUCAGUAAAGGCAGCAUCUUGAAUAAAAUAUUGAACAAUUCGUUUCCAUAUAAUAACAUAUAUAAAACUUUUUUUAUUAUAGUAACUAAAGUAACAGUAACGUAGAUAAUUUGGGAUUUUUUCACAGUAUUAUGUACACAUACACAAACAUUCACAUUAAACAAGAUUAGAAAAGAAAAAUGAUCUUGAUUAGAUAGAGAGGGAUUAUUGAAAGUGAAAGUGAAACCGAACGAGAUAAUCGGGAGUACAGUUGUAAAACUUAAAUAGCCCGGAUAGCUCGUUCCUUAUAGCGAGGACGUGAUAAUUACCUCCAACGUAAGUAGUUGCGCAAAUCAGAACGUCAAACUGCUUUUAUCUCAAAUUUUUUUUAUUCAUGGAUUUGUUUUUUUUUGUUCAUUUCUUUUUUCGGUUUAUUUUCAGCUUAAUCGAACCCUUAACGAUCCAUUCUCGUUCCUGCAAUGAUUGUACGUGUUUUCAGACGGUUUAAGAAUUCAAGUAAAUAGCCUAAACAUAUUUACUUUUAAGAUAAAGGGAGCAGCUGAUCGAUAAAGAGAGCAACUUUUCUUAUCGCUCCAUAAUGAUACACAAUACAUAAUUUUCAGCCAUUUUGGCUUCGUUUUAUCACUUUGUCUCUUCUUCCUUUUUUUCUUUUUUUCAUUCGACGAGUGCAAUCUUUAUUUACGUUUAUUAACGUAUCUUCAGAAAAGUGUUAUUAAAAAGUAUGUAUAUUGAAAAAUGAUCUUAUAGAGCAAUGUAAAUAGGCAAUUUUCUUAUCGAUUAUUCUUUUAACUAGAUUUUGAAACACAAACAUAUCUUCAGUGAUAUAAUAUUUAUAAACUUAAAGUAUGCAUGAACUUGGCAAAAGUUUUAUUAUUCAUAAAGAGAUAACAAACUAGAGAUUGGGAAGAAGCAAUACUUAGUAAUUAGUAUAUUUAAAAGUUGAGAAAUGUAUGUUUUAUAUUGAUUCGAAUCAACCGUCGUACAUGAAUAUUCAUUUUAAAUCGUUUUAUGUAUCGUUUGUAUUUUUAUCUGUAGAUUACUUUUAUUAGAAUAAUCAUUAAAAAUUUUUAUCAAUUUCUAGAAAUAGAAAAUUUAUGAGGUAUAUAACUUACAAUUUUUAUAACGGAAAAUUGUGUUCUUAAAGUCGAUUACAAUUUUAUUUACUGUACGUAUAUUAAUCUUUUUUAAUUAAAUAUUAAUUUUAAAUUAAUUUAUUAAUAACGAAUUUUAUUAUAAAUAACAUUGGAACGUUAAGGGUUAAACGCGUCCACAGUUUUUCGCUUUGGCCUAAAUUGUACUGUAUAUAAUUUCGUUUUGUCACGAAUAAUUGGCACCAGGAUUAUAAAAAUCGAUCGUGAACGCACCGAACACAAGAAUUCUCUCAAAGAAACGAGACUUUCUGCUUUCGUGCACGUUUGAUCGGAAAGGAAAUUGCAUGUAACCUUUGCGAUAUCAUAAAAUCUUAUUAAUCGAGUAAAUUAUUAAUGUUGAGUAAAUCUGCUAAUCAAAAAGGAGGGCUCGAUAUUUAGACUUUUACAACGUGGAUGAUCUUUACUCUGCAGCAAGUAAAAAUUCUAUUUGCCACUCGAAACUCACAUUUUCACUCGCUUUCCAGCUAUUGUAAUUUAAAAAUCAAGUCUAAAAUUAUUUUAUUGCAAUUAUCUACUGUAUUUAAAUAUAUAUAUAUGUAUUUAUUGAUUUGUUAUGGGGAUUCCUGCGAUGUAUUUUGUAUAUGAAGAUCAUAGGAGACAAACAUAAUAAGUACAUUUUUGUUGAUUCUCUGACUUUAAUAUCACUUUACGAUUAAACAACAAUAUGAUUAAAUAACUUGUUAGGUUUAAAAAUAAUAUUUUAAUAUCAUGAUGAGGAAAAUUUUAAAGAGGAUGAAAGUACACAUGUCUAGCUUCACAAUCAAAUAAAAGAGAUAGUUCUGCUAACAUGAAAUUGAUUGACAUCGUACUGAAUUUUAAAACUGUUUCCCUGUAAUAAAUGUUUCUCUCCUGUGCUCCUCGUAUAAGAUUUCAAUAGAUAUACAUGGUAAUUUAUAUUUACGAAACUUUUGCAAUUUUUGCUACGAUUUCUAAAUUUUGUUAUUUUAUAAUAUACAAGGAAUACACGAAUAAAUCAGUCUUUGAAUUCGAUUUUUAAACAUUUUUAACAUUGUGAUUUUUUAAUAGAUCGCUUUUUAACGAAUACUUUUAAGAAGGAAAUUUUUCGAUUAAAUUUUUCUAAUCUUUGAGGAAUAUUUUUAUUGCGAGAAUAAUGGAUCCCCUGUAGCAAUUCGGUAUUUUCCAGCAAGUGACGAACGAGUCAGUAUGUCGUGUCGCUUUUAAACAAUUCACGAGAAGGGAAAACGUUUCUGUAAGAGACGAAAAAUCAUUCCGUAGAAGUCUAUACUUAAUUUUAAACAAAUCAUAGAAAUACGCUAAGGCAAUGCUUAAUGGCACAAGCUCAAUAAUUUAUUACUAAGAAAGGCUUAGUUUCUCGUCUUUUCAGAUAUUUCGCCAGAGAAAUCGAAACAUGUUUCUUUCGUCUAUUAAAAAUAAGGAGAGUAAAUAGGAAUAAUUUCGAUACUGCCUGAUAUUCGAAACCGAGUGGAUUAAACCAUAGAAAUGGCUAAAGAGAAGUGUCCAUUAGGAAAUAUCCAAAAUUCUCUCACGUCGCUUUUGCGAAUAUAGGUGUGCGAUUAUCUGAAAAUCAAUUUUUACGCAGAGUACUGCAUUUUCUUAAUUUUAAGCUUCUUCUAACAACUAAUGAAAGAAAAUAACGAUACGAACGAUAGGAGAAAAAUAACGAUUGAUUGUAUUUAACUGGAAAAUCGUGAAAAUACAAAAAAUAUUAUAUAAAUUAAUACGAUUUAGCUACAGCUCUUUUAUUAAAAAAAAAAAAAAUGUAGAAUUGUGAUAUAUGUAUAUGUACGUGUGUACUUUAGUAUUUGUUAUUUUAAACAAUUGACCAGUAAAUGCAUUUAAAAAAAAAAAAAAAUAGUUUGAUCUGUUGCUUUUAUCGAAAAGAGAAAUUAUUUAUCUAUUCGAUUUUUUUAUCGGAUUUUUUAGCGCUUCUCGAAAAUACUGAUCGAGUUUAACACGAAGCAAUCUCUUGUACACUCUUGAGUAUUUUCUUGAAAAAAAAAAGUUUGGUACGGAGAAUUGUUUUAUUUAUACUUAUAAACGAUUGCUAUAUUUAUAUAGCAGUUAUUUGUACAGUUUUGACAUAAAUGCUUCUGUUUAUUAUGAAUCAUAUAAUUUAUUUGCGUUCAAUAAAACUAUCUUAAAUAAUGUCGCUAUACCAGUAUUCAUUAUGAUGGCAAAUAUUUUCCCAGGUAUUGUUUGAUUUUUAAAAAUUGUCUAUUUAUUGCCUUUAUACUAAAACUAUGUACAGUCAUUAUUAGUCUGUUAUAUUUUUUAAAAGCUUUUAUUAUUAGAAAUCAAUUGUGCAAUUUUUAAAAUGACUCUUUUGUAAAUCGUGAUUAUACUGGUUUUAAUAAAAAUUAAUCUUUAUUUCAUAUAUUUACAAUACAUAUUGUACACUUUCAAUUUGAGGUUUAGAAAGAAUUCUUUAACCAUAUUUUUUAAUAAUUAUUCUUAGUUAAAUUUUAAUAACAAUCUCAGUCAUAACUCUUCUAACAAUAAUAAUAAUAUAAAUAAUUAUAUAAAUUUACCGGGAAAUAUAUCGGCUAUCAUCGAUCAGUAUUCGUAGAUAUUUAUCGAUCAGUAUCAAUAUCGGAUUAACUUUCACCAUUGAUAGCGCCAACUUCAGUCGAGAAGGAAAAUAGUACUAAAGGACGUACAAAACUUUUUUCUUAUCGUUAUCGAAAGUAUGCGAGUGACUAAUAUAUCUUACUAACAUUAUUCAUCCUUUUCUACACGUUUGUACUUUAAGAAACUAUCGUGAAACUCUUCAGAUAUUAUAUUCAUUCAACGUUUUACACAAUGCAACGAGUCUCUGUCUGAAUAUACCUCGAUAUCUUGUUACGGAUCAUUUCGAAGUAACUAUAUGAACUGUACGUAUUUUGCGCAUUUAAACUGUAUUUCUAGAACGAGCGUUCGUUAACGAAUCAUUUGUUAGUGAUUUUCCUGUUGUAUACAAGGUUUUUGGACAGAUAACGCGCACACUACGAACAACGAUAUGAAUUUGUCACGAACAUUGUGGGGAAUAUUAUAACAUCAGGAGUAAAUAAAUUUUUAUUCACUUUUAA